CUCGCGUCUUCUCUCCCAGAAAACUCUACAACUGCCGCACCCGCCUCAUACGUCUCCGGUACACCCGGCAUACGAGUACUCCCCGCUCGCAAACCCUACAGCUUCGGCACCUGGUAUGCUUUUAAAUUGGAACACUGAAAAAAAGUACAUCAUCAGCAAUGAAAGUCUCUGACUGGCAUCCUCGACGAAGUUCCGGAAGCAGCACUCUCUGGACAAUCAGAGCGAAGUUUCGAUCCUCGGACCUGUGGGUUAUGGGCCCACCACGCUUCCGCUGCGCCACUCUGAUUCUAUCAGACCUCGUCAUUUUAUAUUAUUUAUACAAAAUGUUAUCCUACUACUGAUCGACGUGGACUUCGUGUGUUUAGGUGUAUAUCUUGGUGGCGUUACUCUCUGGACUAUCAGAGCGAGGUUAUUCUACAAUGAAAUUUCUGUUUAUGUUUGGAGCUAGUAUAAAUGAUUAAGACUUUUGCAGUAUUUCAAUUUUGUUUUCGAGACAGAGAAAAUAGAAAGAAAAUCAUGAAAAUUAAGUUUAAGGACCAUGAAUUCGCUUAUUUAUUAUUUUUUGUAGUUUAAUGUUUGAGAAUUUAGUUACUUUAUUGUUACAUCCAUUAUGCACACAAAUUUAUUUUUUUCUUAAUAUAUGUUUUUUUGUAUUUAAUACGGAUGUUAUUCUUACUUAGAGAGUAGAAUUUGUUUUACUAUGUUUUUUAUAGUUCG
rnacentral:lncRNA from 1 species